rnacentral:lncRNA from 1 species
CUUUUAAUGUUAUCUUCUGUUGGAAAUACCCUUCCUGUGAAGUUCCCCUGCUUGCCAGUGAGAUUUGGAGAACUGACUGUGGCUUAUGUGUGCUUUAAUCUUCAGUGCCCUGCAUAUUGAUGUUUUUUGUCAUUUUGGAAGAAACAUGGGAUAUUAAUACAUUGGCUGAGCCCCCACAUGAAUCAUUCAAGAGUUAAACAAGAGAAAUGGUUUCUGUCAGUGCAGGUGAUGAAAGAGAUCAUUACAACAUAACUGAAGGUCAAGACAAGGAUAAAUACCAGCAAAAUCAUGUAAGAAUGAUGCUAUCAGAGGGCUUAUGCUUGGCCUACUGAUCCCAGAGGAGAGAAGCAUAGAGAAUUGUGGAAUUGGAUCUAUGAUUUCUUCAUAUUCUUAUUUCCAGCAGUAUGAUAUGUAUGAUAUGCCAAUUGACCCACUGAACAGGCAUCUUGCCAGAGGCAGUUUCAUAUGCUGCUUGACUUGAAUCAAGAGAAGGCAUCAGGGGAACACUAUCACAGAAAAAGAUUGAAAAGAACUUUGGGACUUAAAAGGCAGAAGGAGAAAAACUAUUCUCUGGAUAGUGCUGGUGAAAAGUGAGCAGACAGUGAGAUAUCAUUGGAGCUUGUCUUCUGCAUGUUUGGUUGCAACUCCUGUCUUCAUUCAUAAUGCCUCACAUCUCCUCCUGACACAUGGCCGGGACUCUGUUUGUGAUGAAUGUUUGUACACAUGGAGGAGGGAGGUACAUAUGCUCUACAUGCUUGGAGGUAGAGACUUACAGGGAGCAGAAGAAGUGUGGGUGGUCAGGCAAAAUGAGGAAAAUACUUCUGAAACUCAAAACAGACCAUGAAAUCAAAUAAA